UUUGAGAUACUAUUAUGGUCAGGGUUGAUCCUUAUAUUUGUAAUAUCUGUCAUCAAUUUCGUUUGCAGGAUACUGAAUUUGCAAUAUUAGAUGCAAGCUUAACUUAGAAUUAAAAGGGGAAAAUGAUAAUCUCUAGUUAGGCGAUUUGUUGGGCUGGCCAAGGCCUAUCGCAGAGGGAGGCCUUCAGCCAGAGUGGGCCGUGCUGCGUUCAUGGGCCUAGCUAGGUUAGUGAGGAGAUAAUAAGGGACAAAAUUUGCUAAAAGGAAAAAGAUAAUAAGGCGGCAAAAGAAGAAGAAGAAGAAGAGAAGAACAAAACAGAGAAAGAAACUUCGGCCAAGAUCUGGUUUAAAUUUUAGCAAAAAAAAAAUCAAAAAAGUAGAUUGUUGCCCGGGGACACAUGGCUGCGAGAUAUAUUUUUUCCUAUUAAGAUAGAAAAAAGUGAUCAAUGACAAAUAAGUUCUAGACCUCAGUCAAUUCUACAAUUUUUAUAAUAAAGCUUGUCUUCAUCUAACAUUAUAUGAAAAAAGUUUGAUUUGUUUUUCAUUCGUACAAGUGGGUUUUUGGCAGCCUCAAUACCUCAUGCACAUUUUUAGAUAAAGCGCGUUUAUUUCAUC
rnacentral:lncRNA from 1 species